rnacentral:rRNA from 1 species
UCGCCACGGGAAGACAGAGGAUGCAAGCGUUAUCCGGAAUGAUUGGGCGUAAAGCGUCUGUAGGUGGCUUUUCAAGUCCGCCGUCAAAUCCCCGGGCUCAACCCUGGACAGGCAGUGGAACUACCAAGCUGGAGUAUGGUAGGGGCAGAGGGAAUUUCCGGUGGAGCGGUGAAAUGCGUUGAGAUCGGAAAGAGCACCAACGGCGAAAGCACUCUGCUGGGCCGACACUGACACUGAGAGACGAAAGCUAGGGGAGCAAAUGGGAUUAGAUACCCCUGUAGUCCCUGUCUCUUAUACACAU